GGACGAACGCUGGCGGCGUGCUUACCACAUGCAAGUCGAACGGAAAGGCCCUGCUUUUGUGGGGUGCUCGAGUGGCGAACGGGUGAGUAACACGUGAGUAACCUGCACUUGACUUUGGGAUAACUUCAGGAAACUGGGGCUAAUACCGGAUAGGAGCUCCUGCUGCAUGGUGGGGGUUGGAAAGUUUCGGCGGUUGGGGAUGGACUCGCGGCUUAUCAGCUUGUUGGUGGGGUAGUGGCUUACCAAGGCUUUGACGGGUAGCCGGCCUGAGAGGGUGACCGGCCACAUUGGGACUGAGAUACGGCCCAGACUCCUACGGGAGGCAGCAGUGGGGAAUAUUGCACAAUGGGCGGAAGCCUGAUGCAGCAACGCCGCGUGCGGGAUGACGGCCUUCGGGUUGUAAACCGCUUUCGCCUGUGACGAAGCGUGAGUGACGGUAAUGGGUAAAGAAGCACCGGCUAACUACGUG
rnacentral:rRNA from 1 species